AAAGUNUGACGGAGCAACGCCGCGUGAGUGAUGAAGGUUUUCGGAUCGUAAAGCUCUGUUGUUAGGGAAGAACAAGUGCGAGAGUAACUGCUCGCACCUUGACGGUACCUAACCAGAAAGCCACGGCUAACUACGUGCCAGCAGCCGCGGUAAUACGUAGGUGGCAAGCGUUGUCCGGAAUUAUUGGGCGUAAAGGGCUCGCAGGCGGUUUCUUAAGUCUGAUGUGAAAGCCCCCGGCUCAACCGGGGAGGGUCAUUGGAAACUGGGAAACUUGAGUGCAGAAGAGGAGAGUGGAAUUCCACGUGUAGCGGUGAAAUGCGUAGAGAUGUGGAGGAACACCAGUGGCGAAGGCGACUCUCUGGUCUGUAACUGACGCUGAGGAGCGAAAGCGUGGGGAGCGAACAGGAUUAGAUACCCUGGUAGUCCACGCCGUAAACGAUGAGUGCUAAGUGUUAGGGGGUUUCCGCCCCUUAGUGCUGCAGCUAACGCAUUAAGCACUCCGCCUGGGGAGUACGGUCGCAAGACUGAAACUCAAAGGAAUUGACGGGGGCCCGCACAAGCGGUGGAGCAUGUGGUUUAAUUCGAAGCAACGCGAAGAACCUUACCAGGUCUUGACAUCCUCUGACAACCCUAGAGAUAGGGCUUUCCCUUCGGGGACAGAGUGACAGGUGGUGCAUGGUUGUCGUCAGCUCGUGUCGUGAGAUGUUGGGUUAAGUCCCGCAACGAGCGCAACCCUUGAUCUUAGUUGCCAGCAUUUAGUUGGGCACUCUAAGGUGACUGCCGGUGACAAACCGGAGGAAGGUGGGGAUGACGUCAAAUCAUCAUGCCCCUUAUGACCUGGGCUACACACGUGCUACAAUGGACAGAACAAAGGGCUGCGAGACCGCAAGGUUUAGCCAAUCCCAUAAAUCUGUUCUCAGUUCGGAUCGCAGUCUGCAACUCGACUGCGUGAAGCUGGAAUCGCUAGUAAUCGCGGAUCAGCAUGCCGCGGUGAAUACGUUCCCGGGCCUUGUACACACCGCCCGUCACACCACGAGAGUUUGCAACACCCGANGNCGGUGAGGUAACCUUUAUGGAGCCAGCCG
rnacentral:rRNA from 1 species